AACUUGCGCUUUUAUGUUUUGUAGUGACGAUGCCGAUUACUCGCUCCCAAUCUGCCGGGGCGGACAAUGCGGCAAACUUCGAGGAGGUCGAGACCUCCGCUACCUCCGGAUCCAGCGAGGUCCGUGAGUUGAGGGGCCAGCUUGCGGCCCUCACUGAUUUGGUCACUCAGCAGGCGGAGGCGGCCCGACAGCAGACCGAGGCGGCGCGCCGG
rnacentral:lncRNA from 1 species